rfam:Triticum aestivum genome assembly, contig: Triticum_aestivum_CS42_TGACv1_scaffold_475203_6AL
CAACUACCCCCCCCCUAUCCCAAAUUUCUUGUCUUAGAUUUGUCUAGAUACAGAUGUAUCUAAUACUAAAAUGUGACUUGAUACAUCUGUAUCUAGACAAAUCUAAGACAAGAAUUUUGGGACGGAGGGAGUACUUU